rnacentral:snRNA from 1 species
GUGCUUGCUUUGGCAGCACAUAUACUAAAGCUGGAACGAUACAGAGAAGAUUAGCAUGGCCCCUGUGCAAGGAUGACAUGCAAAUUCAUGAAGCAUUCCAUAUUUAA